GACGAACGCUGGCGGCGUGCUUAACACAUGCAAGUCGAGCGUAAGGCCCUUUCGGGGGUACACGAGCGGCGAACGGGUGAGUAACACGUGGGUGACCUGCCCUCAGCUCUGGGAUAAGCCUGGGAAACCGGGUCUAAUACCGGAUAUGACUCCAUGACGCAUGUUGUGGGGUGGAAAGCCUUGUGCGGCUGAGGAUGGGCCCGCGGCCUAUCAGCUUGUUGGUGGGGNGAUGGCCUACCAAGGCGACGACGGGUAGCCGGCCUGAGAGGGCGACCGGCCACACUGGGACUGAGACACGGCCCAGGACUCCUACGGGAGGCAGGCAGUGGGGAAUCUUGCGCAAAUGGGCGAAAGCCUGACGCAGCGACGCCG
rnacentral:rRNA from 1 species